rnacentral:misc_RNA from 1 species
CGAUGAUUAGCGGCGCGAAUCGCCCUUCUUNGNCCUCUGUGUGCCAAGGUACUCCUACGGGAGGCAGCAGUGGGGAAUUUUCCGCAAUGGGCGCAAGCCUGACGGAGCAACGCCGCGUGAGGGAUGAAGGCCUCUGGGCUGUAAACCUCUUUUCUCAAGGAAGAAGACAUGACGGUACUUGAGGAAUAAGCCACGGCUAAUUCCGUGCCAGCAGCCGCGGUAAUACGGGAGUGGCAAGCGUUAUCCGGAAUUAUUGGGCGUAAAGCGUCCGCAGGCGGUCCUACAAGUCUGCCGUUAAAAAGUGGAGCUCAACUCCAUCACGGCGGUGGAAACUGUAGGACUGGAGUGUGGUAGGGGCAGAGGGAAUUCCCGGUGUAGCGGUGAAAUGCGUAGAUAUCGGGAAGAACACCAGUGGCGAAAGCGCUCUGCUGGGCCAUAACUGACGCUCAUGGACGAAAGCCAGGGGAGCGAAAGGGAUUAGAUACCCCUGUAGUCCUGGCCGUAAACGAUGAACACUAGGUGUCGGGGGAAUCGACCCCCUCGGUGUCGUAGCCAACGCGUUAAGUGUUCCGCCUGGGGAGUACGCACGCAAGUGUGAAACUCAAAGGAAUUGACGGGGGCCCGCACAAGCGGUGGAGUAUGUGGUUUAAUUCGAUGCAACGCGAAGAACCUUACCAGGGCUUGACAUCCUGCGAACCUCUGGGAAACCGGAGGGUGCCUUCGGGAGCGCAGAGACAGGUGGUGCAUGGCUGUCGUCAGCUCGUGUCGUGAGAUGUUGGGUUAAGUCCCGCAACGAGCGCAACCCACGUCUUUAGUUGCCAGCAUUUAGUUGGGCACUCUAGAGAGACCGCCGGUGACAAACCGGAGGAAGGUGUGGAUGACGUCAAGUCAUCAUGCCCCUUACGUCUUGGGCUACACACGUACUACAAUGCUACGGACAAAGGGCAGCUACACAGCGAUGUGAUGCGAAUCUCAUAAACCGUAGCUCAGUUCAGAUCGAAGGCUGCAACUCGCCUUCGUGAAGGAGGAAUCGCUAGUAAUUGCAGGUCAGCAUACUGCAGUGAAUUCGUUCCCGAGCCUUGUACACACCGCCCGUCACACCAUGGAAGUUGGUCACGCCCGAAGUCGUUACCCCAACCUAUUGGAGGGGGAUGCCUAAGGUAGGACUGAUGACUGGGGUGAAGUCGUAACAAGGUAGCCGUACCGGAAGGUGUGGCUGGAUCACCUCCUUUUAGGGAGACCUAAUCCAUUUAGAAAUCGAAAGCAGUGGAAAUUGUGGGUAGAAACUAAAUUGGUCUAACCUAGGUCGUUCGAGAUUGGUAGAUAUCUUUCAAAGUAUUAUUCGGCUUCGUUCAAAGCCAUAUAUAAUAAAUGGAAAAAAGACAGCAACUGAAACUAUAACAAUAGUUUUUGACUGCUGGAUGAAAUUCCAGCCAGAACCUUGAAAACUGCAUAAGAGAACGAGAAAAAGCAGGCAGACACAGACAUUUAAAUGGAUGUGAAAGCAAAGAAAAAUUGUGGUCAAGCUAAUAAGGGCUAAUGGUGGAUACCUWGGCACACAGAGGCGADG